rfam:Colletotrichum gloeosporioides Nara gc5 unplaced genomic scaffold scaffold576, whole genome shotgun sequence.
ACAUACGGCCAUACCCAUUGGAAAACUCGGGAUCCCGUCCGCUCUCCCAUAGAUAAGCUAAUGAGGGCUGGAGUUGUAGUCGGUUCGGUGACGACCGGCGAAUGCCCGGUGCUGUAUGUA